UUUGCCUACGGGGGGCAGCAGUGGGGAAUAUUGCACAAUGGGGGAACCCCUGAUGCAGCGACGCCGCGUGAGUGAGGAAGUAUUUCGGUAUGUAAAGCUCUAUCAGCAGGGAAGAAAAUGACGGUACCUGACUAAGAAGCCCCGGCUAACUACGUGCCAGCAGCCGCGGUAAUACGUAGGGGGCAAGCGUUAUCCGGAUUUACUGGGUGUAAAGGGAGCGUAGACGGCUAAUCAAGUCUGAAGUGAAAGGCGGGGGCCCAACCCCCGGACUGCUUUGGAAACUGUAUGGCUGGAGUGCAGGAGAG
rnacentral:rRNA from 1 species